rnacentral:rRNA from 1 species
UACGGAGGGGCUAGCGUUGUUCGGAAUUACUGGGCGUAAAGCGCGCGUAGGCGGCUUUGUAAGUUAGAGGUGGAAAAGCCCGGGAGCUCAACUCCGGAAUUGCCUUUAAGACUGCAUCGCUAGAAUCAUGGAGAGGUGAGUGGAAUUCCGAGUGUAGAGGUGAAAUUCGGUAGAUAUUCGGGAAAGAACACCAGUGGCGGAAGGCAGCUCU